UACGUAGGGUCCGAGCGUUGUCCGGAAUUAUUGGGCGUAAAGAGCUCGUAGGCGGUCUGUCGCGUCGGCUGUGAAAACACGGGGCUCAACUCCGUGCCUGCAGUCGAUACGGGCAGACUAGAGUUCGGUAGGGGAGACUGGAAUUCCUGGUGUAGCGGUGAAAUGCGCAGAUAUCAGGAGGAACACCGGUGGCGAAGGCGGCAUCCUGGACCGACAUUGACGCUGAUGAGCGAAAGCUAGGGGAGCAAACGGG
rnacentral:rRNA from 1 species